UGGGGAAUAUUGGACAAUGGGCGAAAGCCUGAUCCAGCCAUGCCGCGUGUGUGAAGAAGGUCUUCGGAUUGUAAAGCACUUUAAGUUGGGAGGAAGGGCAGUAAGCGAAUACCUUGCUGUUUUGACGUUACCGACAGAAUAAGCACCGGCUAACUCUGUGCCAGCAGCCGCGGUAAUACAGAGGGUGCAAGCGUUAAUCGGAAUUACUGGGCGUAAAGCGCGCGUAGGUGGUUCGUUAAGUUGAAUGUGAAAGCCCCGGGCUCAACCUGGAAACUGCAUCCAAAACUGGCGAGCUAGAGUAGGGCAGAGGGUGGUGGAAUUUCCUGGGUAGCGGUGAAAUGCGUAGAUAUAGGAAGGAACACCAGUGGCGAAGGCGACCACCUGGGCUCAUACUGACACUGAGGUGCGAAAGCGUGGGGAGCAAACAGG
rnacentral:rRNA from 1 species